GGCCCAGCAAUUCCUAUCCCUACCUCCGCGUGGCACCGGCCGGGCUGCGAGCAACUUCUGGGAGAUCGGGUAACCAACAACCCUGGUGGGAACUUUAGUCGUAGGCUGACAGGGACGG
rnacentral:ribozyme from 1 species